rnacentral:siRNA from 1 species
GUAAGUAGCCUAACCAAAUCACUA